AUGUGCAUUUUUUAUUGUUUACAAUUGUUUGAAGCUUUCAAUGUAAUGAGAACGUAUGGGAAUUUCCUGUUGAGUUGAAAAUUGAAAAGCUGAACUUGGCUGUGAAGAAGAAGAUCAUCAAGCAAAAAGGAAAAAGAGGAAGACCAAGAAAGGUUAAAUGGGAUGAAAGUGAGGUUGUUGGCCGAAAAAGAUAAGGUGGAUAAAGAAGCUAUGCUCAAUCAGAUGACACAAAUUGAAGAUAUGUUAACAGCUACGGUUCGAAGAUAGGCUAUAAACACUAGGUUUUGAAUGUUGAGAUGUUUACCAUAUAGGAUAAUUACGGUUAUUUGAUGUUUAGUUGAUAUUUUUAUUAGAAUGUUUUAUAUGAUUUUCAAAUAGGAAAAACUGAAUCAGAGAUGUUUUAUAUAGUUUUUGGGGUUUGUAAUUUUAUUAGAGUGUUUAAUACAGUUCUGUAAUUUUAAUGAAGAAAUGUAAAAACUGUA
rnacentral:lncRNA from 1 species